GGCCCAACUGUCUGAAUGUAGUUGUCAGUGAUCACUGUAGUCUUUGUACUACUGUUAAAACUUAAGGACCAGUGGUUCAACAAGAUCUAGAGUUAAGAGUAGAUUAAGAGUUUAGAUUGUGAUGAUGAAACAUAUGGAGUGAAGUAACGUCUCAUCAUCACUGAAAAUAUUGUUCCCUUAAGUGCUCCCCCUUCAGGGUGAGUGUAGAAUUCAUACUUACCUGGCAGGGGAGAUACCAUGAUCAAGAAGGUGGUUCACCCAGGGCGAGGCUCAGCCAUUGCACUCCGGUUGUGCUGACCCCUGCGAAUUCCCCAAAUGUGGGAAUCUCGACUGCAUAAUUUCUGGUAGUGGGGGACUGCGUUCGCGCUCUCCCCUGAUUUUCUGGUUAAAAAUAGAAUUGUAAUGUAUAAGGAAUUAUUACUAGUUUAUAACAAAUUUAUCAUGUGUGUGAAGUUGUGGAUCAUUAUGUUUGAUUGUGAUAAUACACUGGAUAAGGGCUGAACGAAUCAUUGCGUUUGCGAUAUCGCAAUAUGAAAAAACAUGAUUUUUGAUUACACUCGAUGACGUGACACGAAAGAGAGUGGCUGCUUCAAGUCGAACACAUCUAAGUGCAAUCUUCAGAGGAAGCAUUGAGUUGGCACGCUACAGUGUUGCCAAGUCCGUGAAUACAUUACAUAUAAUAUUUAUUUAUUUAUUUAUUUAUUUAUUUAAAGUCUUUCUAAAUUAAAAAAGCAUUAAUUGUUUAGUAAAAUUAUUUGACGCGACUAAAAAAAAAAAAGAGAACUACUGGUCUUAAGUUAACAGACAGUAGGGCCGUUUGCACUGCUUUAGUUCCAGAACUAAAUGUACUAAACUAAAGUACUGGCACAAUUUUGCCAGUACCAUUUUAAAGGGUUGCAUUCGCACCGACAGUGUGUACUAGGAAGUGAUGUAAGCCGGUCAACAGGGAGGUCAUUUGUAUGCGGUGUUCAACAAUGUUAACAAAGAAGAACAACGUUAACAACAGGAGGAUGGAGGACGCUGUGAUCGGAGCUGUGUUUUUGUUGUCUCGUGAGUUUCACAAUAAUGGAUAUGUAAUGUCGACAUAUACGUAAAGCGAUUAAAGGAAAGGAGGACUAAGAAUCUCCAACGACAACUGACAGUGCUACAUUUGCUACAAGUGGCUGCACUUCAGCGUCCGUCCAUCUAUCGCUGUUCUCCAUACUUGCGAAAUAAGUUGACAAUGUUUACAGUACGUUAACAUAACGUCUACUUUAGUUUGAGUGAUUUGUAUAUUAAUAUUUAGGCUACACCAGGCUUAUUUGUCAGUGAUUUGUCAUAAUUAUUACAUGCUUACAAGGUUGGAAGUUCAACAAAUCAGUCAAUAUACUACUGUGAAUGUAGUUGUUAAAAAAAAAAAAAAAAAGUCUUUCUUAUCAAUUUAUGCAUCACCUAAUUUCAUCGUAACAGGCCUGGCCUACAGGAAAGAACAUUUGUUUAAUCGAGCUAAUAUUAUGUUAGUCAUAUUAUACAAUGAUUUUUAGCUUGUCUUUGUUGAAUAAUACAGAACAUAAAGAGCUUUAAAAAGUUAUUGCAUAUUAAAUCGCAAUCGCAAUAUUGGUAAAAAAAAAAAAAAAAUUGCAAUAAGAUUAUUUUCCAAAAUUGUUCAGCCCUACAACCCCUGGUUUAAAUGAACAUAAGAUAAUGAUGAAAAACAAAAAUUCAAAGGAGUAUGGAGUGGAGCAUCUAGUUCGCGCGAAUGACGCGAAUUGAGCGAAUGUGCUUUUUGUGCAUUUACACGUUUGACGCGAAUUCGCGUCUGACGCCCGAGUUGAAAAAUUUGAACUUUGGCGUCAAUUCGCGCCGCGUUAACCUAUCAGGAGCCUGCUCAGGAGUCACUCAUUCAACAUGAAGGAACGACUGAUAUUGUCAGUGAGCAGUCACCCGGCGCUAUAUGACACAAGUUCAUAUUUCUAUAGAGACAGGAAUAAAAAGGAAGAGUGUGUUGUAAAUACACAUUUAACUUUUGAGUCACGUACAUGUUUAUCGACCCGCGGCCUUCCCGCCAUUUUUACAACUAUUUUCCCCCUAAUAUAGCUACUUUUUGCUAACAAGAUAAUGUGUUUAUUCAGAGGACGUGUGCAGGAAAAAGUGGAAAAGCCUUGAAUGCUCGAUCAACAUCAGCCAUCUUGCAAACAGACAACUUGCUUUCUACGCACGUCUAUUGCGCUCUAGACGCGCGAAUGCAUUAAAAAAGUUCAAGCGGCAAACUAGACGCGGUAGACGUGAAUUUGACGCUCUAUUCGUGUUUGGUGUGAACGCAACAUUAAAUGUCUUUAACGUUGUGUUUCGUGCCUUUGCUUUCAAGUUCCGCCAAACAAACUAAAGCGUAUAUGGCUUUACCCCUCAUCAUAUCUGUUUGCGCUGCGUGUUUCAAAGCCAAGCGCACACUUUUUUUCACGCGAUCAGCUCAUGAUCCGGUGUUUGCUGCGGCUCCUUUCUAAAUUACUAAAUAAGUACUAAAUUAUUACUAUAUUACUACACUAUAUAGUAGUAAAUCACAUGUGAAAAGUAGCCUACUUUUUGAUCAGUUCAUCAGUAAAAUUCAG
ensembl:lncRNA